rnacentral:tRNA from 1 species
GGAGAGACAGCUUGAUUGUUAGAGCACUUGCCUGGCAUGCAUGAUGCCCUGGGUUCAAUUCCUGGCCCCUCGG